rnacentral:lncRNA from 1 species
CUCUAUUUCUCUUCAUCUUCCCAAAUCUCCGCAGUUUCAUCACAGGGCCAUGGCUUCUUUCACUGUAUCCCGUGUAACCUCGUCUCAGGUAAAUUCAUCUCAUUUCGUUAAUCCUUAUAUUAAAUAAUAUGGGCUUUACAUCUUUGCUUUCUUGGGCAGUUGUGCUCUAGCAAGAAUGGGAUGAACUCACCUUCACAGGAAACGCUCAUAAAAUGCGUUAGAAUCAGCAAUUUAGCUCAAAAGGAUAAUAGGAUGAGGGUGUCGUGCAUGCAAGUAUUCCUGCGGACGAUCGCGUGCCUGAUAUGAGAAAAAGGCAGCUCAUGAAUUUGCUCCUUUUGGGUGCUAUUUCACUUCCCAGUGCUGGCAUGUUGCUUCCUUAUGCUUCCUUCUUUGUCCCACCUGGGGAUUUUCUUUACGCCUUCCUAAUUUUUGUGAACAACGGGGGAAUAAUAUAUUCUAUAUGCUCCAAACUUAAAUUUAAAGUAUUAGCUACAAUUUCCAUUGCCUGUAUUCGAAAUGAGUAGCAAAACAGAUUAUGGGAUGAUGCAUAGAAGAAAAUUUUCAGUUGUAGCACUAGAAAGGAAAAAUGUAUAUAGAGAAAAUUUAUACGUGUUAAUAAUCUGAUGAUCGUCUAUUUGCGUCGAUACAAUAUUAGUCAAUUAAGUUCGCCCAUUUGUCUGACUCUUUCUCUUAUACUGUCACAAUUCACGUGCUCAAGUGUAUUUUGACAAGAAUGAUUGAAUUCAUUGGACAUAAAGCUUUUAUAGUCGGAAAUCGCUCUUGCCAUCUGUGAAGAUAUUUCUAGUGGAUGAAAAAC